CUGAGAAGAAACCGACCUUGGGGGGGGGGAAAAAGCGUGGGUACAGAACACAAUAAUAACGAAAAAUAACUUUUAGCAUCAACUUUCCUAAUGUUUUUGCUAUAAAUUCAUAUGCCGCUCUCUAGAUGAAAAUGUCACAGCUCCAGGAAUUAGUAUUCUAGAAGGAGAUGAUGAAGGCCAAGGCAUGAAGAGUUUGUAAUUGUCAAU
rnacentral:misc_RNA from 1 species